rnacentral:rRNA from 1 species
GAUGAACGCUGGCGGCGUGCCUAAUACAUGCAAGUCGAGCGAACAGACGAGGAGCUUGCUCCUCUGACGUUAGCGGCGGACGGGUGAGUAACACGUGGAUAACCUACCUAUAAGACUGGGAUAACUUCGGGAAACCGGAGCUAAUACCGGAUAAUAUAUUGAACCGCAUGGUUCAAUAGUGAAAGACGGUUUUGCUGUCACUUAUAGAUGGAUCCGCGCCGCAUUAGCUAGUUGGUAAGGUAACGGCUUACCAAGGCGACGAUGCGUAGCCGACCUGAGAGGGGGGUCGGCCACACUGGAACUGGAACACGGUCCAGGCUCCUACGGGAGGCAGCAGUAGGGAAUCUUCCGCAAUGGGCGAAAGCCUGACGGAGCAACGCCGCGUGAGUGAUGAAGGUCUUCGGAUCGUAAAACUCUGUUAUUAGGGAAGAACAAAUGUGUAAGUAACUAUGCACGUCUUGACGGUACCUAAUCAGAAAGCCACGGCUAACUACGUG